UACAGGGGGUGCAAACGUUGCUCGGAAUUAUUGGGCGUAAAGCGCGCGUAGGCGGCUACCUAAGUCGGAUGUGAAAGCCCCUGGCUCAACUGGGGAAGUGCACCCGAAACUGAGUAGCUAGAGUGCAAAAGAGGGUCGCGGAAUUCCCGGUGUAGAGGUGAAAUUCGUAGAUAUCGGGAGGAACACCGGUGGCGAAGGCGGCCUUCUGGUCCAGUACUGACACUCAAGUGCGAAAGCGUGGGGAGCAAACAGG
rnacentral:rRNA from 1 species